rnacentral:rRNA from 1 species
AGAUUAAGCCAUGCAUGUCUAAGUAUAAAUUCUUGUACGAUGAAACUGCAGACGGCUCAUUACAACAGUGAUAAACUGCUAGACUUUCGGGUUUUUAACCUUUUGGAUAACCGCAGUAAAUCGGGGCUAAUACAUAGAAGCGAUGGGUGACUGGCAACGGAAGCUCAGCGAUUAUUAGCGUUACUACCAAUACCUUCGGGUCUUGUGGUGAAACCGAAUAAUAUUGCAGAUCGAGGAUUUAUCUUCGACAAGUCUACUGUGUCACUGCCCUAUCAACUUUCGAUGGUACGGUAUUGGCCUACCAUGGUUGUAACGGGUAACGGGGAAUUAGGGUUCGAUUCCGGAGAGGGAGCCUGAGAAAUGGCUACCACUUCUACGGAAGGCAGCAGGCGCGCAAAUUACUCAAUCCCAAUACGGGGAAGUAGUGACAAUAAAUAUCAAUACCUAUCCUUUUUGGAGGGCAAUUGAAAUGAACACAAAUUAAAACUCUUAAUUAACACAAUUGGAGGGCAAGUCUGGUGCCAGCAGCCGCGGUAAUUCCAGCUCCAAUAGCAUAUACUAAAGUUGUUGCAGUUAAAAAGCUCGUAGUUGAAGUUAAAGUUAUAUUGGGCUCAAGUUUUUUACCACUCUGGUGGCUAAAACAACUCCAAUAUUUCUUUUUUUAAUAGCUCAGUUUCUAGGUCUUUGACUCUAGUUAUUUGGGCAUUUCACUGUGAGAAAAUUGUGGUGUUUAAAGCAGGCGUCUCGUCUGAUCUUUUGCAGCAUGGUAUGAUGAAACAUGACAUUUUACG